rnacentral:misc_RNA from 1 species
GAUGAAGAACGCAGUGAAAUGCGAUAAGUAGUGUGAAUUGCAGAAUUCAGUGAAUCAUCGAAUCUUUGAACGCACAUUGCGCCCCUUGGUAUCCCGAGGGGCAUGCCUGUUCGAGCGUCAUUUCACCACUCAAGCCUUGCUUGGUGUUGGGCGACGUCCCCUUUGGGGACGCGCCUCGAAACGCUCGGCGGCGUGGCACCGGCUUUAAGCGUAGCAGAAUCUUUCGCUUUGGAAGUCGGGGCCCCGUCUGCCGGAAGACCUACUCGCAAGGUUGACCUCGGAUCAGGCAGGGAUACCCGCUGAACUUAAGCAUAUCAAUAAGCGGAGGA